rnacentral:tRNA from 1 species
GCCGUUGUAGCUCAACUGGCAGAGCAGCUGCUUUGUAAGCAGCAGGUUUGCGGUUCAAGCCCGCACGACGGCUCCA